rnacentral:rRNA from 1 species
GAUGAACGCUGGCGGCGUGCCUAAUACAUGCAAGUCGAGCGAACAGACGAGGAGCUUGCUCCUCUGAUGUUAGCGGCGGACGGGUGAGUAACACGUGGAUAACCUACCUAUAAGACUGGGAUAACUUCGGGAAACCGGAGCUAAUACCGGAUAACAUGUUGAACCGCAUGGUUUAACAGUGAAAGACGGUCUUGCUGUCACUUAUAGAUGGAUCCGCGCCGCAUUAGCUAGUUGGUAAGGUAACGGCUUACCAAGGCAACGAUGCGUAGCCGACCUGAGAGGGUGAUCGGCCACACUGGAACUGAGACACGGUCCAGACUCCUACGGGAGGCAGCAGUAGGGAAUCUUCCGCAAUGGGCGAAAGCCUGACGGAGCAACGCCGCGUGAGUGAAGAAGGUCUUCGGAUCGUAAAACUCUGUUAUUAGGGAAGAACAAAUGUGUAAGUAACUAUGCACGUCUUGACGGUACCUAAUCAGAAAGCCACGGCUAACUACGUG